CGCUACGCGUUGUAAACUUCUUUUCUCUUAGAAAAAACUACUUGGUUUCGUACCGAGACUGAUUGUACAAGAGGAAUAAGCAUCGGCUAACUUCGUGC
rnacentral:rRNA from 1 species